CCUACGGUGGGCAGCAGUGGGGAAUAUUGGGCAAUGGGCGCAAGCCUGACCCAGCAACGCCGCGUGAAGGAAUAAGGCUUUCGGGUUGUAAACUUCUUUUCUCAGGGACGAAGCAAGUGACGGUACCUGAGGAAUAAGCCACGGCUAACUACGUGCCAGCAGCCGCGGUAAUACGUAGGUGGCAAGCGUUAUCCGGAUUUACUGGGUGUAAAGGGCGUGUAGGCGGGACUGCAAGUCAGAUGUGAAACCCACGGGCUCAACCUGUGGCCUGCAUUGGAAAUUGUAGUUCUUGAGUACUGGAGAGGCAAUCGGAGUUCCGUGUGUAGCGGUGAAAGGCAUAGAUAUCACGCAGAACCCCGAUUGCGAAGGCAGCAUACCGGUGCACAACUGACGCUCAGGCACGAAAGCGUGGGUAUCGAACAGGAUUAGAUACCCCAGUAGUC
rnacentral:rRNA from 1 species